rnacentral:rRNA from 1 species
GAUGAACGCUGGCGGCGUGCAUAACACAUGCAAGUCGAACGGAGCGCUUAUGACGGAGUUUUCGGACAACUGAUUAAGUUGCUUAGUGGCGGACGGGUGAGUAACGCGUGAGGAACCUGCCUUGGAGUGGGGAAUAACACAGAGAAAUUUGUGCUAAUACCGCAUAAUGCAAUUGAGUCGCAUGGCUCUGAUUGCCAAAGAUUUAUCGCUCUAAGAUGGCCUCGCGUCUGAUUAGCUAGUUGGUGGGGUAACGGCCCACCAAGGCGACGAUCAGUAGGCGGACUGAGAGGUUGACCGGCCACAUUGGGACUGAGACACGGCCCAGACUCCUACGGGAGGCAGCAGUGGGGAAUAUUGGGCAAUGGGCGCAAGCCUGACCCAGCAACGCCGCGUGAAGGAAGAAGGCUUUCGGGUUGUAAACUUCUUUUAUAAGGGACGAAACAAAUGACGGUACCUUAUGAAUAAGCCACGGCUAACUACGUGCCAGCCGCCGCAGUAACAC